rnacentral:lncRNA from 1 species
UUUCACUGACUUUGCCUGGUGAGCCCAUCUGUCUGUACACACAGGCCUUUAUCUUCAGUUUGGUAACAAUUCAUUACAUUAUAUCUUUCAUUUCUCUUCCGCUUCAUUUGUGGAUUCUAUUUUAGGAACCCUCAUUAUCUACAUGUGGCUCUUCAUUCUCUCUUUUCUAGCUCUUUCACCUUCUGCCAUAUUGUCGUGAUUUCUUUCCCAUUUGUUGUGUGUGUUGCUGACUUGAUACUCCGAGGCUCCGCUGCUAGUCUUCCCUGCCUGCAGAGUGGCUUUGCUUCUGUGAUUGUGUCUUUAGUCCCUGGCUGCCUCUCCGUUUAGAAUGUACCUUCCUCUCCCUCUCGUCCUGCAGAUUGGACCUUUUUGUGGCUUUCUGCCCCUCUGGCUUAGAAGCCAUGCUUUCUUGUAUGCUACUGAGUUAAAGUGUACAGCUUCCUGCAUUUUUCUUCUGCAUUCUAGGGUUAUCUCAUUUUUAGAGGUAUGCUCUUCCUCUGAGUCUACGGGAUGGUGUCCCCAUUCUGGUGUCUGUGGGGUUUUCCCUUUUACUUGGAGCAUGAUCGAUGUUGGUGGGAUUUGGCGAGGUUCCACAGACAGGGUGAGUGGCUUGUUCUGGGGUCUUUUUCUGGCCUCUUUUGGGGUGAUUUCAUGCCCUUCUCAUUUCUGUGCUAGCUGUGGAGACUGAUGUGUGUGGUUUCCCCAUCACCUACUCCUAUUUAAAAUGUCUCCCUCGAUAUAUCUCUGCUCUGCCCAGGGAGCAUAUUCCUUUGACCAAAGGGUCAUCUGGUUCUUUGGUUCAUUUAGCCUGAUUCCAUAUGUGAAAAGUACAGUUCCCUGUCAGCACCACUCCUAUCCUCACCCUUUCCCGCUACCGCUUCCCCCUUUGGCCGGCAGCUCUCAGAAGCUUGAUGCCCCUUGCAGGCCUUGGGCAGCUAUGUUCUGUGGAGCUGUGUUCUGGGAAGGGAAGAGGGCAUAAGGGAUGAAAUGGAAACUUCCUUAACCUUCAGGAUAGCCCAGCUCCUCACUGGUGGCAACUCUGGGCCUCUGAGACAGGGAUAGAGGGUAGCACUUUCUGCCUUUUUUCUCAGGCAGUCUGUUUCAGGUUUUCGAGUCAGGGUGAGCAGGUCCUAAGCCUGGGUGGGUUCUCUCAACCCAUCCCUGGCACAGAUAUGCCUCUUCUCUACUCUGAUACUGGACUUUCAGUAUUAGUUUGGAUAAAGGUUGUCGUGAGUUUUUGCUGUUUGUCUGACAUCAUAAUAAUUGUCCUAAAAGAUUGUGAGUGUCUUGGGGCCUGCUAGCCCCAUUUUGAGCCCCAAAUUCUUCUGCAUAUAGUAUGUUAAAUCAUUCAUUUAUUGGUCUGCCCCCCCACUCCCCCACAUACAUUUGUCUGUCAUCUUUUUGAAAGAAUUAUAACUCCCCGCUACAUCAACAGUGCCUAACACAGGGCCUUGUAUGUACAGUGUAAUAUUUUUAAAAUUAAACUAGGAUAUGAUUUCCAAGACAGGGAACAUACAGAGAGAAGAAGAAAAGGAGAGUGGACAGAGGGACUCUGAGGGACCUGGCAGGAGCAGGAGAGAGGUUCAUACAUAAGCCAGCGAGGGAGGCCCAGAAGUUGCAGGCAGUGAAGUCAGGAUAGUAGAGCAGCUCUGAGGAAGCACAGGGUCCCAGGAGGAGGCCCGAGGCGGGACAGGUUAGCGAUGGUGGGGUUGGCCAGCUGGCAGGGAAGGGUGAUGAGGGAGGUGAUUGUAUGCCUGGGCCAUCACGGGCGACCUUUCAUUUCAGGAGGUGGACACAAUCCUUUCUCAAGUUGGAAGGCCGAGUGGGUUGAGGAAGAGGAAGCGGUUCAGUGCAGAUCUAAAAAGAAAAAGGAGAGAAAGAAGAGGGCUUGAGGGGAAAUCAGCAUGCCAGAAGGUUUUUGUUUUGGUUACUGAUGUUGCUGUUGUUGGAAUGGGGAAGAUUUGAUCAGCUUUAUAUCCUAAGGGAAGGAGGUCGUGACUAGAAAGAACAAUUUGUAGACCGAGAAGGCGUCUUUGAAAAAGCCAGUCUGACUCUGAUCUGCAGAGGGGGUGAAGUCAGCCUUGUGGAGAGAAAGCAUGGUCUGAGAGCUCCUGAGGACAGAGGCUGCCUUUCCCUGGGUCCAGCCCGUGCCCAGCAGGGCAUGCGGGGCACCUGUCAGUGGGGACAGGAGGGCCAUGGGCUGUAGUGGGUUCACCUAAGGUGGCAGGAGAGAUGGGGGGUGGGUGCUCUCUUCUGCCUCCUUGCAGAACAGGGGGCAAGACACAGCCAGGCCUGGAGAUAAGAAUAAGAAUAAGAAUAAGAAUAAGAAUAAGAAUAAGAAUAAGAAUAAGAAUAAGAAUAAGAAUGAAAAGGCUUCCUCCUAGCCCUCAGGCCCAGGCUAAGGACAGAAGAAGCCUCUCAGCUGGAUGCAGGGUGGCACAGCAAGAGAGCCUGGAAAGCCUCUUGUUUCUGGUGGCCUUUUGCCAUGUGCUAACAUGGAUUACUUUUCUGGAAGGCUUGAGGAGUGCUUUUAGAAAGUAGCUUUGAUUUAGCCAGGAGAGGGACUUGCCCUGGACCCACACCCUCUUUUCCUUACCUGUCAGGUAUUGUGGGGUAUUGCUCCUACGUUCUGUCUCUAGAGAUAUGAAGGUCAUUGGCUAGAAGCCUCUGUGGAGAUGGUCCUUGGGGUCCAGGCCCCCUGACCCCCAGUGUCAAGGUCCCUCCCCUCUGGGCCCCCCCUCCCCCUCUGGUCACUUACUUCACCUAGGACAGGCUUGAACCUGACUAAGCUGGCUCAGCCCUGGCAGCUGGACGAGAAAGCUGGUGGUGAAAUAGGCAGCUCUGAAUUCUGGCUUAUGAUAGCCUUCUUGGGCUGAAAAACAAGAUCUUACUUAAUUAAUCAAUUAGUAGGUAAAACAUCUUUGAGAACUUUCUGUGUGUCAAGUACCAAUGCCAUAAAAGUGAUGAGGCCAUCAUCCCUGCCCUUGAGAAUCCGUAUCUAGUUCAAUGAGGGAAACUCACUUAAAUAAAGGCUUUUAAACUAGGGGAAAAUUCAUGUGAGGUGUAGACAGUCCAUUUAAAUGAGAGGCAGAGGGAUGGAUUAAGUAAUCCCUAGAGUCCUGUCCCAAACAAGCAGUUUCAUUAUAAAGCAGGACCUGCAAAUUGGCUUUUCCUUUCAGUAUUCUUCAUUGCCCUUUCAAACAAAUAAUUAACCAUGCAAAAAUCAUGCAGCAUAUUCUAGAACUCAAUUCCUAGUACUACUCUCCAGAGUACUUGAACCGUGCCCUGGGGUUGGCAUUGUUACAAGAAACUCUUGAUGAGAAUAAUGCCUGAUAUUGUGCAAUUGUGUGCAGUUGGCCUUCCUUGCAUGGUUCUGUGUAUGCACAUCAAUUACACGCAUUCGGUAUAAUUUGUCUUUUUAAAAUCACACCUUCUAUUUCACCCCAAGAAGAUAAAUGGAUCCUGCCUCGGUCCCAAUUCCAUUGAUUUUUCUGUGGUCCUAUGGCGAAGCUAUUAUCAACACUAAUCUCAAACCCUGCUAGGAGCCAGGAAGUCCUUAGAAUACAGAGCACCAAUUUCUGCGACUUCCAACUUAUUUUUCUUUUCACUGGCUUUUGUUCUGACUCCCCUCUCCUCAUCUCAUUUUCAAAUAUGAUUUGAUUAUCAUCCUGUGAGGUCUGUUCCACCGGCUCUGAGCAGAAACCUUUUGGACACUUCCAGCCUGGAGGAGGUUGCCAGGGGUCUCUCCUGAUGGAGCGUGACCCUCCCCGGGGCAGAGUAGCCCAGCCACUUUGAAGCCUCACAUUAUGGCUUCCCUUUCUACCAGGGUGAGCCCACACUCUUCACCUUGCUGCUCUCAAAAUGAUUUUUCUAGGGAGAGGCGGAAGAAAAGAAGAAAUACGGGGAUUAGAAUGGAGACUACAAGGCACUGGGGAGGCUUUUGACAGUGAGCUCAGUGUUUGAAGAUGGGGAAGCAAUGAUGUUCCUAGGACCUGAAGCGAACAGUGUCAGAUGGUCAUUUGUUUCCACCUUUCAGGGCUGCUCUGCAGCCUUCCUGCUGUCGCACACCCCUCCUUGUGCUGGACCCAGGGCCAAAUUCAAGACCUUAAGAGAUCACAUGCCAAUUAAAAAUCAUAUUGAUUAAUUUUCAGAAGGCAAAACAUUCUGUUCAUUAAACUAUUUCCAACAGUACAAAGGGCAUUCAGUGAAGAGUAAGUCUUUCCUCACUGCUGACCCUGGGCCCAGUGGCCUCCUGAGCACUGCUCUCAUCGGCUCCUGUGGAGCCUUCCAGAGACAGUCUAUAAAUCAGGUGUGCACUCAGUUCCUCCUGCUACUGCUACUGUCCACAUGGCUCCUUCUCUUGUAGCCCUCUUCUUUUCCAUCACCCUCCUCCUCUUCCUCUUCUUUUUUUAUGUAUUAUCUUGUAGAUGAUACCGUACCAGAACUCAUAAGCCGGCCUCACUCUAAAGGGUUGCAUGGUAUUCUCCGGUGUGGAUAUACAAUAACUUAUUUAACAAAUCCCCUAUUGGUCGCUAUUUGGUUUGUUUCCAGUCUUUUACCGUUAGAAUGAAUACUGCACAAAAGGAUUGAAAGCAGGGACUCAAACAGAUAUUUGUACAAAAAUGUUUACCGCAGCAUUAUUUACAGUAGCCAAAAGGCAGAAAUAUCCCAAGUGUCCAUCAGGAGAUGAAUGGAGCAACAAGAGAUGGUAUAUCUGUACAAUGGAAUAUUAUUCAACCAUAAAAAGAAUGAAAUGUUCAGAUACGACUUAGAUGGACCUUGAAAAUAGUAUGCUUAGUGAAAGAAGCUGGACACAGCAGAACAAAUAUUUAUGAUUCUGCUUAUAUGAGGUACCUAAAACAGGUAAAUUCAUAGGGACAAAAAAGAACAGAGGUUAUGGGGGAUGGGAGAAAAGGGAAUGGGGAGUUACUGUCUGCUGGGCAUAGAGUUUUAUGUUAGGGAUGAUGAAAAUGCUUGGGGUGUGGAUAGUGGUGAUGGUUAUUGUGAAUGUAUUUAAUGCCACUGAAUUAUAUACUCGCAAAUAGUUAAAUUGAUAAUUAUCAUAACAUAUCAUAAACAUAUGUUUCACCACAGUACAAAGAAAUGACAAUAGAAACGCAAGAAUAUGCUACUGAAGCCUAAAAAAAAAAAAAA